rnacentral:rRNA from 1 species
UACCAGCACCCCGAGUGGUCGGGACGUUUUAUUGGGCCUAAAGCAUCCGUAGCCGGUUCUACAAGUCUUCCGUUAAAUCCACCUGCUUAACAGAUGGGCUGCGGAAGAUACUAUAGAGCUAGGAGGCGGGAGAGGCAAGCGGUACUCGAUGGGGUAGGGGUAAAAUCCGUUGAUCCAUUGAAGACCACCAGUGGCGAAGGCGGCUUGCCAGAACGCGCUCGACGGUGAGGGAUGAAAGCUGGGGGGAGCAAACCGGG